AAUAUGUCUUAUGGUGAAAUUGUGAAAAUUGUGAAAAUUGUGAAUAUGAUAUGUGAAAAUUGCAGUUAAUAUGUGAAAUUAUAGGAAAAUACAGAAAUUUGAAUAAUUGUAGAAAUAUGUGAGAAUUGUAAGAAAUAUGUGAAAUUUGUUGAAAAUUUGUAAAAAUUGUAUAAAUAUGUGAAAAUUUGUGAAAUAUUACGAAAAUAGGAAAGAAAUUAAAUUUGUAAGAAAGAAAUUAAAUUUGUAGGAAUUAAAUUAAAUUUGUAGGGAAGUAAUUAAAUUUGUAGUAAGGAAAUUAAAUUUGUAGGAAAAAUAAAUAAAAUUGUAGGAACCAAAUUAAAUUUGUGUGAACGAAAUUUAUUGUGUUAUUUUUUCAUAGAUAUCAUCGUGGUUGAUCAAUAGUGGUCGCCACUCUGCCUCCACUUUGGGCUAGAGUGACCCGGCGGCCGAGAUACCGAGUAGAACCCAGGCGGCCAAUGCCGAGUCGUCGGCAUGCCCCAGUACAUUUGCUGCAUCAGGUUGGGUGCCUCGAUCUGCCAGGCAUGUUUAUAGCCAGAGACGGCACGAACAUGUGCCAGCCCCACCUCACCUUGUUAAAACUGAGGAGGCUGAUGCCGAUUCGGUAACUGUGCGCCCGAAAGGAGACGGAGAACUCACAACUGGGAAGAAGACCAAAGUGUGGGGGAUGAGAUUUGACCUCCAACCAGAUCACUGGCUUAUAGCAUAACCAGAUCGUGAUCGAUUACAACCACUCAAUUGGCAAGUGAACCUGAAAGUCAACAGCUUGUUGACUCACGACAUGAGUACCAUCACCAAUGUAUCCAAUUAUCCAUCGACAUGCACCACCUGGGUACGGAAGAGUACAUAAACCGGGUGUGGGCUAAGCGGUACAAGGAGUGGAAGUACGAGAUGCACUUGUACUACAACACUUGUGCAUUUCCUGUUGAUGUUUCUAUCGAUCACCCCCAGAGUUUGCAGAGAAGAUUGCCAAGUGGGAGUGGUUAUGUGGUCAUUUUCGGAGCCCGACAUUUUUGUUGUUGAUGGAUGGGGUUGGGCGAAGAAAAGGCAAAACGACCUAGGAGCGGGUUGGAUCGAGUUUGAGAUCUCUGAAGGUUCAUCUAGUAGUCUGACUAUGUGCAAGGUGUCUUCCAGACUACACUAGUUGGAGAUAGAGCUAACAAUCAUGUGCUAGCGAGGAUAAGAAGCUAGAGAAGAAGCACGCCAACGAGAAUAAGUUGUGCGCCAUCAAGAAGAAGCUCGGGAGGUAGUCAUGCACUAGCGAGAGGAGGGCCUUCUGCUUACAUUGCUGGGAUAGCCCAAACAAUGUCACCCUCUUACAUUUGCCUUCUUGAUCCUCUGAGCGACCUUCAGCCACCAUCCCACCAGCCACCCAGUAGUCGUAGUUAGUUUAGUAUUUUACAUAUAAUUGUAUGAAUAUUUUAUUUAUAAUAAUCUAAAAUUUUAAAAUAAAUCAAAAUAUUAAAGAAUAG